UAAAAUGUUCCCAAAGUCCAACCAUUUCCCAUAAGCACCUACAAGAAAAAACAUCCCGUGUCAACAGAUUUGCACAACAAAUAGGACUGAACAUAAGCCUGAAGAAAACAGAGGUGAUGACCUUAAUCACACAAAAUCUCCCAUCUAUACAAAUAAAUGGAAUAAAUAUACCCACAACAGAAGAGUUUUCAUAUCUGGGAAGCACUGCAAGAAACACAUUCAGAAUGAUGAACAAUGUGUGGAAGUCCACGAAGUAUAGCAUCAACACCAACUCAAGUUAUACAAGAGCUGUGUUCUCUCCACUUUAUUAUACAGCUCUGAAUGCUGGAGGAUGACAGAGAAAGACCUUUCCAAGAUCUCUGCAUUCCACACAAGAAACCUCAGAAUAAUCGUACGUAUCUUCUGGCCUAACACCAUCUCCAACCAGCAAUUACUUGCUCGGACAAACCAAGAAAGUAUCAAACCAUCAUUACAAGAAGGCGGUGGAGAUGGAUUGG